ensembl:lncRNA
GGAAUCUAGUGCCAUUGGGACUCCAGUGUCUUCAAAACAUCCUCGAAAUACAUGUGUAUGAAUGGUCCACCGAAGUGGCUUCCAGAGCCAUCUUUCGGUUUUGGUGAGGAUUUGUUACAGUUGCCCUUCAAUGUAGCAGGCUACGGCUUUCUGAAGAAGCCUGCUUUACGUAGCAUUGGAGUACAAAUAUUGUGCAAAAUGCUCAUGUAAUUGCACUAGCACUGGUAACUUGUAGAUUAGCUUAGUUUAACGUCAUUCGGUGCUGUCUGUCAAAUGUGUGGGUAAACCACGUUGGAACACCCCUGGACAAGGUGAUUAGUCACUGGUGAUUAGACACGAAGUCCACUGUGUGCUAAAGUUUUGUUCCAUUUUUCACUAGUUGGUUAAGGUUUGGUAGAAUUGUUUGGAUGCUAGCGACGUGAUGGCGUAUGUACAAGAGCCUACCGUGGCCAGGCCACAGUUGGGAACACCACGCCAGAUGGCCUAGUGUGAGUGCAACCUUGAUUGCAUUUGUAUACUGUUUACCAUUGGAUGUUUAUGCAAUUUGGCUUAAUUCAUCCGCUGUAAAGCUGCAUUUGACUAUUCCAGGGUCGUUUUGUACAGGCUUUCAAUUGACCAUAUUGACUAGUUGGUUGGAAGUUUUUCCUUUUUUUUACCCUUGCUUACAAUCCAACGGUUGCGACCACUUAUGCAACUGGGCUGUGAACCUUGCAAUUCUAGUUGCAUAUUUGUACACACAAGCUUGUCCAUUUCUAUCGCCAUCACUAACACUAGCUUCAGCAUUUCCUUGUAGGCCAUUAGCUGACUUGUGUAUUGGAGCAAUGAUUUGGGUAUUUUAAGAUGCUUGAAAACCUAAAAUAAAGCAAAAUGCGUGUCUGAUGUGCAAGAGCCAAUUUGUUGGCUUGCAGUAGUCGAGGAGUUGCCGUAGGUCGUAAGCCAUCUGGAGGUUGUGGCAAUGGAGGCUUGUGGUAGAUCUGCCAUCCAAGAAAGGUUGCUUCUUCUGAAGCAUGAUUAAUAGUUUAGUAAAUUUAAUCUAUUCAUAUAGAACUAUAAAAUCCAAGACUGCAGCCAGUAACUUGGAUCGCAAUAUGUGGAAAGUAUCAGUCUUCAUUUGUAACAACAGAAUAAUUAACAUGACUAACUGGGUUUCUUCCAUUUUCUAACUAGGGGGACUUGACUGGUGAGUCUACUGGAUUAAUCAGUAGCGGUACUUUGCCCAAAAGAUUUGAUGGCAUGACUACAGGUUGGUGGUUCAACACUGAUGUCUCUCUAGGCUUGAGGGAGAGCUCACAAGUAAAUUACACGAAUGUCCUGGAGCAAUUGGGAAUACACUUUUAUUUAGUCUACCUGACCAGGGACAUCUUUGAACUAUAGGUCACCUAAGCCUAACUUUUCACUCUUGUUAUGUUGUCCUUUUCUCUUGUUUUAACCCGAAAGGGCUGAAAAUAUCAACAUUUCAGGUAUUCUGUUUGGAUAAUGUGCAAAACUUGUGGCUUCACUAAUAAAAAAAAAUUAACAAAUGUAUUUUUCUUAAUGUGGUUAAACUAUUGAAAGAUUUGUAUGCAAAAUAUUUCUGCUCAAUUUGUGGUCAAUGAAACGCAAAUUUUUAAUUUGAUAAAACACAACUAUGGGUUAAAGGUAUUUGCUUUGGGCAUCUUUUGAUAUUUUUAGAAU